rnacentral:tRNA from 1 species
GACAGUAUAGCUCAGGUGCUAGAGCACAUGCUUAGCAUGCAGGAGGUCCUGGGUUCAAUCCCCAGCACCUCCU